GCUUUAGAGGAAAUACCCACAGCUCAGAUACACAUCCUUAGCUGUUUGGUUUUUGUCCUUUUGUGUUUUUUUGUCUCAUUUUUGUCGUUUGUCCAUUAUUUUGUUGCUUUGUAACUUUUUUGUUGAAUUUUUUUACUCUUUUUUGCUUUGCUUCGUGUCAUUUUGUGUCUUGUUUUUGUCAUUUUGUGUCUCAUUUUUGUAAUGUAUUUUUUGUUCUUUUUUUGUCUGCCUUUCGUCUCAUGUUUUUGUCGUUUUGUUUUUCGUUUUUGUCGUUUUGUGUUUCCUUUUUGUCUCGCUUGUGGUUUUUGUCUUAUUUUUGUCAUUUUGUUUUUUUCGCUGUUUUGUGUAUCGUUUUUGUCAUUUUGUGUUUUUUGUCUCGUUUUUGUCAUUUGUCCAUUUUUUUGUCACUGUAACUUUUUUGUCAAAUUUUUUCUCUUUUUUGUUUUGCUUUGUGUUGUCAAUUUUUUUGUAAUUCUGUGUCUUGUUUUUGUUGUUUUAUGUGUCAUUUUUGUAAUAUAUUGUCUUGUUUUUGUUCUUUUUGUCUGACUUUCACCUCAUGUGUCCCAGCCACAGCUUAAGGCUGUGGGCUGUGGUAGUGCUUCCUGUUCUCUCUCUCCUAGGUGUGUUCUAGGUGAAGCUGGCAGCAGGUGUGGUACAUUGUAAUCAGCAGACGAGCUGCAGGUGGAGCUGAGUGAUUGGUCUCUGAGCAUCUCUAUAAAAGCAGAUGACACCAGUCAUUCGAAGCUGGACUGUCGUCUAAUCUCCAAAAGCUGAUUCCUGCCUGCUGAGUUGCCUGGGUUCCUUCAUCUGCUGGUUUUCAGCAAAACCACGGAUUCUGCCUUGUUCUCCGGAGGAUCUCCACCUGUCACCAGCUUAACCUGGGAACAUCAGCGUACACCUGGAAAGAGGACUUUCUCUGGAAACAUCUGCCAUGACCGGGUUCUACUGACACCAACUUACCAAGCACAUGGUGAACACAUGGAGGGAGAGUUCUGGAUGAAGCCAAACCAAAAGGACUGUUCUCAGCUCAUCAGCUGAGUCUCCAAGCCCUAGUAUCCCCAGACUAUUUGUAUUGUUAAUAUGUCAAAUUAAAUAAUCAGCCUUCCACAUUUAACUUAAUGUAUUUUAUGCUCUGUAUAGGAUAGCUUUAGUCUGGGGUUUCAGCUCAUAAUUACUGGUAGUCUAGGUUGGGUUAGUUCUGUAUUUUCAGUUGUUUCCCUACUUUGGUGUUUCCAUACGUGGGUUAACCUUAGUCUCAGUUUCCAUGUUCAUGCAGUUAUUCCUCUGUACCUCUAGAUGGUUUUUGUUUUUCAGUUCUAGUAGUAGUUUAGUUCUUCUUUGUCUAAGAUUCUAGUUCCGGGUCCUGUAUAGAGUUUCUUGUUGUGAAUAAAAGCAUUUUUAAAACGUU